GGAAAAGCCUUGGGUAUGCUUGAAGACACUAUAUCAACAGGGGAUUGGCUCCAUCCUGCACACAGAGGUGGUAGCUGCUCUUUGUACAAAGAAGGAAAAGAUCUUCUGUCAUAGGGAAGAAGGGCAAGAGGCAGAGCCCUAAUCUACAAGAGGGCCAGCAGGUCAGCAAGAAGGCAGUGCCACUGGAAAGUAUGAGAUGUGGAGAAGAAACUCAAGAUGCCACCAACUUCACAUGUACUGACUGGAAGCAUACAGACACCUAACUUCAGGAGACCCACGGCCACACAGCCACAGAGAAGCCUGGUGUCACUGGACACACAGUAAAGCAAUGAAUGAAGUAAGGAUAA
rnacentral:lncRNA from 1 species